GGACGGGUGAGUACGCGUGAGUGACCUGCCCCGAAGAGGGGGAUAACCCUGGGAAACUGGGCUAAUACCCCAUGUGCUUCGUGGGGUUAGAGGACCACGAAGUAAAGGGUGUGGUUACCGAAAGGCGCCACGCCGCUUCGGGGGGGGCCCGCGGCCCAUCAGGUAGUUGGGGGGUAAUGGCCUACCAAGCCUAUGACGGGUAGCCGGCCUGAGAGGGUGUCCGGCACACGGGGACUGAGACACGGCCCCGACUCCUACGGGAGGCAGCAGUGGGGAAUCUUGGCAAUGGGCGAAAGCCUGACCCAGCGACGCCGCGUGGGGGAAGAAGCCCUGCGGGGUGUAACCCCUUUUCGGGGGGAAGAGGAAGGACAGUACCCCCGGAAUAAGGGCCGGCUAACACGUGCCAGCAGCCGCGGUAAAACGUAGGGCCCGAGCGUUACCCGGAUUCACUGGGCUAAAGCGCACGUAGGCGGCUCAGUAAGUCGGGCGUGAAAUCUCCCGGCUCAACCGGGGGGGCCGUCCGAUACUGCUGGGCUUGAGGGCGGGAGAGGGAGGUGGAAUUCCCGGUGAGCGGUGAAAUGCGUAGAUAUCGGGAGGAACGCCAGUGGGGAAGCCGGCCUCCUGCCCGUCCCUGACGCUGAGGUGCGAAAGCCAGGGGAGCGAAAGGGAUUAGAUACCCCUGUGUC
rnacentral:rRNA from 1 species